GAUGAACGCUGGCGGCGUGCUUAACACAUGCAAGUCGAACGGAAAGGCCCAAGCUUGCUUGGGUACUCGAGUGGCGAACGGGUGAGUAACACGUGGGUGAUCUGCCCUGCACUUCGGGAUAAGCCUGGGAAACUGGGUCUAAUACCGGAUAGGACCACAUUUUGGAUGGUGUGGUGGAAAGUUUUUCGGUGUGGGAUGAGCUCGCGGCCUAUCAGCUUGUUGGUGGGGUAAUGGCCUACCAAGGCGUCGACGGGUAGCCGGCCUGAGAGGGUGUAUGGCCACAUUGGGACUGAGAUACGGCCCAGGCACCGACGGGAGGCAGCAGUGGGGAAGAUUGCACAAGGGGCGCCAGCCUGAUGCAGCGACGCCGCGUGGGGGAUGACGGCCUUCGGGUUGUAGACUCCAUUCGCUAGGGACGGAGCAUUAUGUGACGGUACCUGGAGAAGAAGCACCGGCUAACUACGUG
rnacentral:rRNA from 1 species